CGGCUCUGCGUUUAUUGUUGGA
rnacentral:miRNA from 1 species